AGCGAGGCUGACAGGCGUAGUGAUCGAAAAAGGCUCGUUGCCAUGCAGUUGUCUGUGACGUUGCGCUUCUUCCAAUCAUUAGCACGGGUUGUUAAAGAGAAACCGCCCCCCUGGAAAACCGGCCAAUCCACCUUUGACUUUUCUUCGUGUGUUUGUGGAAGGUGAGGCUUCGGAUUUACAAAUGAGGUUGUUGAGUUUCGGUUGCCGUGGAAACGAAUGCGGCUACGUAGGUCUCCCCCUUCAGCUCUACAAAGGUGAAACUGUGGUGCCUUUCCCUAAUUCCAGGUAAUUCGAAUUGGUUUCCCACCAAUUCUCCUUCUUAUCUACACUUUUAAUCAGAUGAGAUCGAGUGACGAAAAAAAGCUCCAUAGCAGCAUCACUUCCUAUAGAAUGGAGAAUAAACCUUCAGGCAUAGAAUCAGACUACAUCAAGAAUCUCCAGCAGCAGAUUUACUUUCUUGAACUGGAAGCCAGUUUUCUAUAUCCAAUGCAGUGUGUAGUUAGAUUCUCCUAACAGAUAGCAGGAGAAAAACAAAUGCAUGAAAAAUAAUAUUGCACUAAAAUAUUGCAGAAAUUAUGCAGAUGAACUUUUUAUUUCAAGUUUAUUAACCCCUCCUAACAGCAUUAAUUUCAAAUCACCUUUUGACCUUAACUGUCUAUUAUUACUCGUGAACAAGCUAAAAAGGCCAUUGAUCUUCAGCCUCGCCUUGCAUUGGAAACAGACAACAUGCUACAAAAAAUGCAGGAAUUCCAGUCUCAGUUGGAUGGUCUUCAACUCGAGCUAAAGCGAAAGGAAAGUGGUUUAAAUGUAUUGAAGAAGGAGAAAGAACAACUUAACAACCAGAUCAACGUGACUGAUGAGUGCCAUUCAAAAGAGAAGCAGGUUUUAGUAGAUGAAAUUAUAGCACUGAAGAGAAAGAAGGAGCAAACAGACAAGCAAAUAUCUGCAAAAGAAACAGAACUAUCGCAUGCUAAGCAGGAACUGGAACAGCAACAAAUGACCCUGAGUAACAGGGAACAGACUAUCCUUGUAUUACGAACAAAGGAAUGAGAUAUCAUUUCUUCAUCAACAAAUCCGUGAAAAAGAGCACCUAGCAGAACAGG
rnacentral:lncRNA from 1 species